rnacentral:rRNA from 1 species
UGGUGGAUUGAUCUGUCUGCUUAAUUGCGAUAACGAACGAGAUCACCACCCCUCAAUAGGUGGAUGCCACGAAUUCGUAUGGGAUGUGCCGGUUCUCUCGCAGUCCAGCACGUCUCAGAGUGUGCAUCAAUACUUCUUAGGGGGACUGUGUACGCCCUAGUACACGGAAGAUGGUGCCAAUAGCA